UACGUAGGCGGAAUAUUAAGUCAGUGGUGAAAUCCUGCAGCUUAACUGUAGAAUUGCCAUUGAUACUGAUAUUCUUGAAUGUAGUUGAGGUAGGCGGAAUGUGUAAUGUAGCGGUGAAAUGCUUAGAUAUUACACAGAACACCGAUUGCGAAGGCAGCUUACUAAACUAUGAUUGACGCUGAGGCACGAAAGCGUGGGGAGCGAACAGGAUUAGAUACCCUGGUAGUCC
rnacentral:rRNA from 1 species